AUAGAAAUAAAGAGAGACCAUCUGGAAGGUCUUAGCAUCCCUCACAGGACAGACCUGGAGACCAGAAUCAUCCAAGUCAAGUCAAAACACCAGGAAAGCCAGCCAGCCAGCGAGUGCCGGUCCCCCCACUGCAAUGGCCCACGUGGAACCUUACAAAACACACCCUUGUGCCUUUCCAAUCUUUCGCAUGGUCUCAGAGAUCCGUGACGUUGUGGCCGUAUGAAUUGAUUGUACCUUUCCUUUGGCAAUGAGUGUUGAAACUCAUGACUGUCCUGCAUUGGGAAAGACAAACAUUCUAGAACUGAAGUAUAAAACAGUUGGUCCGUACCCUUCAAAUCAAUAGACUGGCCAUAUCCUAUUAAAAAUAACUGCUACUCCCAGAAUUGACCCUUUAC
rnacentral:lncRNA from 1 species